rnacentral:rRNA from 1 species
GCUUUUGCUGGCCGCUGGCUUCUUAGAGGGGACUAUCGGCUCUUACCUGUUGGAAGUUUGAGGCAUUACCAGGCUUGGGAUGCCCUUAAAGGUUCUGGGCCGAACGCGCCCUACACUGACUGAGCCACGAAGUUAUUAACCUUGGCCAAAAGGCUUGGGAAAUCUUGUGAAACUCUGUCCUGUUGGGAAUAAACCUUUGCAAUUAUUGUUCUUCACCAAGGAAUGCCAAGAAGGGCCAAUGCUUCACUUUGGGCUAAUUACGUCCCUGCCCUUUGUACACACCGCCCGUCGCUU